rnacentral:rRNA from 1 species
GUUGGGUAGGGGAGCGUUCUGUAAGCCUGCGAAGGUGGCCUGUGAGGGUUGCUGGAGGUAUCAGAAGUGCGAAUGCUGACAUAAGUAACGAUAAAGCGGGUGAAAAGCCCGCUCGCCGGAAGACCAAGGGUUCCUGUCCAACGUUAAUCGGGGCAGGGUGAGUCGACCCCUAAGGCGAGGCCGAAAGGCGUAGUCGAUGGGAAACGGGUUAAUAUUCCCGUACUUGGUGUUACUGCGAAGGGGGGACGGAGAAGGCUAUGUUGGCCGGGCGACGGUUGUCCCGGUUUAAGCGUGUAGGUGUGUGUUCCAGGUAAAUCCGGUUCACUUUAACACUGAGGCGUGAC